rnacentral:tRNA from 2 species
GCGAAGGUGGCGGAAUUGGUAGACGCGCUAACUUCAGGUGUUAGUGUUCUUACGGACGUGGGGGUUCAAGUCCCCCCCCUCGCACCA